rnacentral:rRNA from 1 species
AACGAACGCUGGCGGCAUGCCUAACACAUGCAAGACGAACGAGACCUUCGGGUCUAGUGGCGCACGGGUGCGUAACGCGUGGGAACCUGCCCUUAGGUUCGGAAUAACUCCCCGAAAGGGGUGCUAAUACCGGAUAAUGUCUUCGGACCAAAGAUUUAUCGCCUUUGGAUGGGCCCGCGUUGGAUUAGCUAGUUGGUAGGGUAAAAGCCUACCAAGGCGACGAUCCAUAGCUGGUCUGAGAGGAUGAUCAGCCACACUGGGACUGAGACACGGCCCAGACUCCUACGGGAGGCAGCAGUAGGGAAUAUUGGACAAUGGGCGAAAGCCUGAUCCAGCAAUGCCGCGUGAGUGAUGAAGGCCUUAGGGUUGUAAAGCUCUUUUACCCGGGAUGAUAAUGACAGUACCGGGAGAAUAAGCUCCGGCUAACUCCGUG